ensembl:Mt_tRNA
GAGAGAGUGGUAAUGGUUGCAGGGCUGGCUUGAAACUGGCUUUUGGGGGUUCGAUUCCUUCCUUUCUCG